GAUGAACGCUGGCGGCGUGCUUAACACAUGCAAGUCGAACGAGAAAUGUAGACGGAAACCUUCGGGCGGAAGCCUUCAUUUCGAGUGGCGGACGGGUGAGUAACGCGUGGGUAACCUGCCUCAUACAGGGGGAUAACAGUUGGAAACGACUGUUAAUACCGCAUAAGACCACAGCAUCGCAUGAUGCGGGGGUAAAAACUCCGGUGGUAUGAGAUGGACCCGCGUUCGAUUAGCCAGUUGGCGGGGUAACGGCCCACCAAAGCGACGAUCGAUAGCCGAUCUGAGAGGAUGACCGGCCACAUUGGGACUGAGACACGGCCCAAACUCCUACGGGAGGCAGCAGUGGGGAAUAUUGCACAAUGGGGGAAACCCUGAUGCAGCGACGCCGCGUGUGUGAAGAAGUACUUCGGUAUGUAAAGCUCUAUCAGCAGGGAAGAAAAUGGCGGUACCUGAGGAAGAAGCCCCGGCUAACUACGUG
rnacentral:rRNA from 1 species